ACGAAACUUGCCCCGAGAUGAGUUCUCCCUGACCCUUUAAGGGUCCUGAAGGAACGUUGAAGACGACGACGUUGAUAGGUCGGGUGUGUAAGUGUAGCGAUACAUUGAGCUAACCGAUACUAAUGAACCGUGAGGCUUAACCUU
rnacentral:rRNA from 1 species